UCUCAACUAUAAAUAAAAUGUGUUGCGUGUAGACAUUAUUCCAUCUUUUUAUUCCUUCUGAAGAAGUACAUUGUGAUAUUUAAUUGGAAAUUGUGAUAUGAAAAUGAAAACAGUUUGCAAUAAGGGUUGGGUGUCGGAGCAAAAAACAAAGUGCCAUUUUCUUUUAGCUUCUCAUCUGGAGCUCGUCUGGGGCGGUGCUGUUUUCGAUUUAGCCGGACCGGAAUGCAAGGAAAAACACAUCCUCUAAACCAUUAUGGAAGUCAUCAAGAAUAUGAUAUUCAGCCAAGGCUACUCUCAUCGUUAUUUAAAAAUUAGGAUCAAAAACAAGAUCAAGGGAAAACUUAAUCAUAAGAGGUGCAGAGGUGGAAAGUGUAAUGAGAAUGUCCGCAAUAAUCCAGCACAGUAAUUAGGAAUGUAUCGUUCCACGACCUCGCAGGAGGAAAUCACCCAUUUCGAAUGCAUCCUUCAUCAAUAGUUUCCGUGGAAUCCAACUAAUUGUGAUAUAGUUUUAAUUUAACAUAUAUAAUUGAUGUUGUGUCUCCAGAUAAUGUGUUAAUCGAACGAAGUCCAUAAAUUGAAAUGUUAAAUUUUUUAUUUAAAUAUUUAAGUUUUAUUGUGUGUUAAAAUCAAAUUUAGUUUAAGUUAAAAUAACAUUAAGUUGAUAUUAUGUAGUACUACACACUUAAAAUAAAUCGCCGAAUU